rnacentral:tRNA from 1 species
AGCACACUGGCAGGCAUUUCAUUUUGGUAAUGAAGGGGCCGGCAGUUCAAUUCUGCUCCUGAGCACCA